rnacentral:misc_RNA from 1 species
AAUUUAGUACAAGCCACCUAGAUUUGACAUCAAAUGUCAAUUGAUGACACAUAUGAAAAACUAAUAUUGAGAUGAUUUAACUUUUAUUUAUAUAAUCAAUCAAUAAAAAAGUCCUCACUCAUUUAUAUCAUCCUCAUUAGCUUGUAUCAAACAUCUUAAAAUAAAGCAAAAAGUCUCAAGUGUAUAGUAAUAUAUGUUAUGAUAAUAAUAGAACAAACCAUAGUACUGAUGAAAUUACAAGCUAAUUAUUGGUGGGGAUACAUAAUUCUUCAUUGUGGAAGUUUGUUAAGCUUACAAUAGACAUAAUCCUUGUACUUCUUGGUCUUGAAUUUUGGUGGGUUGGCCUCAUUAAUCAACUUAGGGAUUGGCCCAACUUCAUGCUCUGAUGAGGGCUCCAAGAAAACAGGCCAUGACAUUCUUGUCUUGUGUUUGUUCACUGUUGUCCUAUGGUACACACUCUUGUAUUUCCCAUUGCUAAGAAUCUCAACUUGGUCACCAAUGUGGACAAUUAUAGCAUUUGGUAUGUAGUUGACAUCAUACCAAUGACCAUCUUUAAACACUUGGAGUCCUUGGACUUCAUUUGGGACAAGAAGGGUGAUAUGGGACAUAUCAGUAUGAGCCACAACUCCAAGAGCCAAAUCAGGCCUUGGACAUGGUGGAUAAUAAUUGAUCUUUAACAUGUAAACUAUGUCUUCACCACCAGCUGCCUCCAUCAUUUCAUGGCCUUCCAAACCAAGCCCAAGUGAUAAGCUCCUAAAGAUACUAUUAGCAACUUUUCUCAGACACUUUGCAUAUUCCUCAUUUGCUUCCCUGUAUGAAGGAGGAUUUUUUGGCCAAUAAUGAUAGUUAAUAGCAGGAGGAGGCCAAAUCUUAUGAAACAAAUGAUCAACCCAACCUUUUUUGCCUUCAAUUUCCUUUUGCAAACUAGUACCAUAUCCUUCUAAACUUUUUGCCCCUUCCUUCUUUGCAAUCAAUUCUUUUUCCUCUUGUGCUACUUCUUCAAAAAAUUCCUUACCAACUCUUUGCAAAUUCUCAAUCACUUCAUCAGGUAUCCCAUGAUUUAUCACUUGAAAAAUACCCCACUCUUUACUAGCCUCAACCAUUUCCUUAACCAACUUCUCUUCAUCGUCAUCGACCUUACUCAGGUCGAUGACUGGUACUUCAAGUACCACUCCCUGCAGCGUUGUCGCUGCAGGCUGUUCGUUCUCUGAACGAAUAUAUUCUGAUGGUAUUGUGUCCAUGCAUUUCGUUAUCGACGAUAUUGCUUGGACCCUUGCUACCUCCAUUGUCAAUGAUGUUGGUGAACUCUGACCUUGAAUUGUUUUCAUUUUUCUUCUAACAUGCAAAAAAAUUUUGUUUCCUUUUUAUAGG